GCCACGCCCGCUCAGAAACUACAAAGGAAGUUGACGGGGCCCGCGACAAGCGGAGGAGCAUGUGGUUAAUUCGAUGAUACGCGAGGAACCUUACCUGGGCUCGAACGUAAGAUGACUGUAGGUGAAAGCUUACAUCUCUUCGGAGCAUUUUACGAGGUGCUGCAUGGUUGUCGUCAGCUCGUGCCGUGAGGUGUCGGGUUAAGUCCCAUAACGAGCGCAACCCCUACCUUUAGUUGCCAUCAGGUUAAGCUGGGGACUCUAAAGGAACUGCCUACGCAAGUAGUGAGGAAGGCGGGGAUGACGUCAAAUCAGCACGGCCCUUACGUCCAGGGCUACACACGUGCUACAAUGGCCGAUACAGAGGGCAGCUACCUGGUGACAGGAUGCAAAUCUCCAAAGUCGGUCUCAGUUCGGAUCGGAGUCUGCAACCCGACUCCGUGAAGUUGGAUUCGCUAGUAAUCGCGCAUCAGCCAUGGCGCGGUGGAUACGUUCCCGGGCCUU
rnacentral:rRNA from 1 species